rnacentral:rRNA from 1 species
ACUCAAAUGAAUAGACGGGGGCCCGCACAAGCGGUGGAGCAUGUGGUUUAAUUCGACGCAACGCGCAGAACCUUACCAGCCCUUGACAUGUCCGGGACCGGUCGCAGAGACGUGACCUUCUCUUCGGAGUCCGGAACACAGGUGCUGCAUGGCUGUCGUCAGCUCGUGUCGUGAGAUGUUGGGUUAAGUCCCGCAACGAGCGCAACCCCCGUCCUUAGUUGCUACCAUUCAGUUGAGCACUCUAAGGAGACUGCCGGUGAUAAGCCGCGAGGAAGGUGGGGAUGACGUCAAGUCCUCAUGGCCCUUACGGGCUGGGCUACACACGUGCUACAAUGGCGGUGACAAUGGGAUGCGAAGGCGCAAGCCCUGGCAAAUCUCAAAAAGCCGUCUCAGUUCGGAUUGGGCUCUGCAACUCGAGCCCAUGAAGUUGGAAUCGCUAGUAAUCGUGGAUCAGCACGCCACGGUGAAUACGUUCCCGGGCCUUGUACACACCGCCCGU